AGAGUUUGAUCCUGGCUCAGAAUCAACGCUGGCGGCGCGCUUAACACAUGCAAGUCGCACGAGAAAGUGGAGCAAUCCAUGAGUACAGUGGCGUACGGGUGAGUAACACGUGGAUCAUCUACCUCUUAGUGGGGAAUAACCCUGGGAAACCGGGGCUAAUACCGCAUAAGCUCGAGAGAGGAAAGCAGCAAUGCGCUGAGAGAGGAGUCCGCGGCCGAUUAGCUAGUUGGCAGGGUAAACGCCUACCAAGGCAAAGAUCGGUAGCCGGCCUGAGAGGGCACACGGCCACACUGGCACUGAAACACGGGCCAGACUCCUACGGGAGGCAGCAGUGGGGAAUCUUGCACAAUGGGGGAAACCCUGAUGCAGCGACGCCGCGUGAGCGAUGAAGCCCUUCGGGGUGUAAAGCUCUUUCGGCAGGGACGAUCAUGACGGUACCUGCAGAAGCAGCUGCGGCUAACUACGUGCCAGCAGCCGCGGUAAUACGUAGGCAGCGAGCGUUGUUCGGAGUUACUGGGCGUAAAGGGUGUGUAGGCGGUUGCUUAAGUUUGGUGUGAAAUCUCCCGGCUCAACUGGGAGGGUGCGCCGAAUACUGAGUGACUCGAGUGCGGGAGAGGAGAGUGGAAUUCCUGGUGUAGCGGUGAAAUGCGUAGAUAUCAGGAGGAACACCGGCGGUGUAGACGGCUCUCUGGACCGUAACUGACGCUGAGACACGAAAGCGUGGGUAGCAAACAGGAUUAGAUACCCUGGUAGUCCACGCCCUAAACGGUGCAUAUUUGGUGUGGGUCAUUCAGUUGAUCCGUGCCGGAGCUAACGCGUUAAAUAUGCCGCCUGGGGAGUACAGUCGCAAGGCUGAAACUCAAAGGAAUUGACGGGGGCCCGCACAAGCGGUGGAGCAUGUGGUUCAAUUCGACGCAACGCGAAGACCUUACCUGGGCUCGAACGGCUGGUUACCGGCGUGAAACAUCGCUACCCGCAAGGGGUCCAGUCGAGGUGCUGCAUGGCUGUCGUCA
rnacentral:rRNA from 1 species